rnacentral:rRNA from 1 species
CCAAGGAGUCCAACAUGUGCGCGAGUCAUUGGGUCCUACGAAACCUAAAGGCGUAAUGAAGGUAAAGGCGAGCAUUGGGCUCGCUGAGGUGAGAUCCCUCUCUCUCGGAGGGGGCGCAUCACCGGCCCGUCCUUCGCGGGGCGGAGCGAGAGCGCACACGUUGGGACCCGAAAGAUGGUGAACUAUGCCUGAGCAGGACGAAGCCAGAGGAAACUCUGGUGGAAGUCCGUAGCGAUUCUGACGUGCAAAUCGAUCGUCGAACUUGGGUAUAGGGGCGAAAGACUAAUCGAACCAUCUAGUAGCUGGUUCCCUCCGAAGUUUCCCUCAGGAUAGCUGGCGCUCAUACACAGUUUUAUCCGGUAAAGCGAAUGAUUAGAGGCCUUGGGGACGAAACGUCCUCAACCUAUUCUCAAACUUUAAAUGGGUAAGGAGCCGGACUCGCUUAAUUGGAGUCCGGACUGGAAUGCGAGUGCCAAGUGGGCCACUUUUGGUAAGCAGAACUGGCGCUGUGGAAAGAACCAAACGUCCGGUUAAGGUGCCUAACGCUGACGCUCAUGAGAUACCAUAAAAGGUGUUGGUUGAUAUAGACAGCAGGACGGUGGCCAUGGAAGUCGGAACCCGCUAAGGAGUGUGUAACAACUCACCUGCCGAAUCAACCAGCCCUGAAAAUGGAUGGCGCUAGAGCGUCGGACCUAUACCGGACCGUCGCGGCAAUGAUGAGCUCCACGGGGGAGCCAUGCCGCGACGAGUAGGAGGGUCGCCGAGGUGAGCGUGGAAGCUCGGGGCGCGAGCCCGAGUGGAGCCGCCUCGGGUGCAGAUCUUGGUGGUAGUAKCAAAUAUUCAAACGAGAACUUUGAAGGCUGAAGUGGAGAAGGGUUCCAUGUGAACAGCACUUGAACAUGGGUCAGUCGGUCCUAAGACAUAGGAGAAUUCCGUUCCGAACCUGGGGCCAGGAGUGACUUUUCACGAAAUCACUCGCCCUCACUCGGUCGAAAGGGAAUCUGGUUAAUAUUCCAGAACCCGGCCACGGAGAUGGACCUCGCAAGGGGUCGCGUGCGGCAACGCAAACGAAGUCGGAGACGUCUGCGAGAGCCCCGGGAAGAGUUCUCUUUUCUUUGUAAGGGUCCCGCUCCCUGGAAUCGACUUGCUCGGCGAUAGGGACACGGGGGCUACCUCCCCCGUAAAGCACCGCGGCUCUUGCGGUGUCCGGUGCGCUCUCGACGACCCUUGAAAAUCCGACGGAGACGGUGUUAUUUUCGUGCCGGACCGUACCCAUAUCCGCAUCAGGUCUUCAAGUUCACAGCCUCUAGCCUCAUAGAACAAUGUAGGUAAGGCACGUCGGUCCUUAGCUCGUUUCCUGAAAAA